GGGAGUGAAUGGGCACUCUACACAGUUCUUCCUGACUUUUCUCUUUCUCUUUCUCCUCUUCCUCCUCCCCUUACUCCUCUUUCUUGUUCCUAAGAAACCAUAGGGUCAGCAGUUUUGCUUUGUCUUUCAUUUACUGUCAUAGUUUGCUACUUCAUUACAGGUCCCAGAGCAACAGUAAUCUUGGCCCAUGUGCUGAACAUCUCAAAGCAAAUAGUCACGACAUAAGUUGGUUCUCUUGAGGUCCUAUUAUCAAGUGGAAGGGCACCACAUAACGUUGCCAUUCAACAGUAAGCUUGAGAGACUAACUGUAGGUAAUAAUAUGGAAAAGUAUCUAUGGUCGAUCUAAUGAAGAUGUCUGGAAUAUCUUAAAGCAGCCAACAAGGAAAGCUUAUGACACUAUACAGAUCAUAAGGGGCAGCUAUGGUAAUGGCAUAAAAGCUCAGAACCCUAGGUGGAAUCCAGAUGGUGCUGGUUAUAGUGAGGUUUUAGAUGAAACAAACUUUAUUGAAAUUGGACAAUUCGUGACUUCAUGAAACAAAGGAAAUGUUAAAGUAGUAUAACAUUCAGGCUACAGUGUGACUAGGAAUGGGUAUUUUGUUUGUUUCUUUGUUUCGUACUCACAUAUCCUUUCAAAAGUUUGAAUACAAAAAAGAAGAAAGAGUUGGAAAGGUUACAGCUUGGCCAAAGAAGAAGCAUAGACACAUAACAAUGCAUCCAAGGUUACCAUUAAGGCUGAUAUAUUUAAGGAAAUAAUCCAAGUGAUUUUCACCAGAAUAAUCCAGAGAUUCUCUGAAUGAAAUCAGUUCAUAUAUCUCAGUCUUAGUUUGCUUUCACAGUCUUAUAUGGAUAGAAAGCCCGAUAGUGUAACAAACCUCCCAGAGAUUCAGACUCAUUCCUUCUAGUUCAGAUCACUAGGGCUGAGAGGGCAUUGCUGUCCUGAUUUAAUCAAGCCCAUGUACAGCUUGAACUUGUGGUGGGCCUUGGAGUUCACAGCUGAGGUAAUCUUGAGUCCCAAAGACUUUAAACGUGAAGUUCUGCACCCUUGAUUUUGGAGACCCUUGAAGGGGCAUGAGUUGCUUCUUAUUUUGUGAGAUGAACAUGAGACUCUGGAGGCCUGAAGCAGAACUCCACACUUUGCAUCUUCAAAGUCCUUCAAAGGUCCAGAAAGUUAUUUCCCAGGAUUGUGCUGUUGAGAGACUGUGGCAGCUUCCAGAGUAUAGAUAAACUUGUACAGACUGAAGCCUAGAAGGGGAAGGGAAGGUGUGAAUAAGAAUGGAACAUUCAUGGUAAGUGACACAGUUUAAUUUUCUAAGUAAAAUCAGUCAUUCCAAUUCAUGUAUUGCCAAUAAAUGCAAAAAAUCAUACAAAUAAAAAUAUUUAACAGAGAGCUGACCAUGUGCACAGGACUCUGUGCUCAGAUCUUGCUAGGAGAAAGCUAGCCUCCCUGUAGUGAGGAUACACCUGAGAGAACACCACCACUUCUGCUCAAAGGGACCCGCCUAGAGCCCUCAGGACACAGAAACCAAGAAGUAGUCUGGGACAGGAUCCUUCUAGUUUCCAUAUGUACAGGGAGCUGACCCUGUGUCACAGCUCUCUGUACACAAGUACCACUGGAAGAGAACUGGUCUUCCAGGAGUGCUGACACACAGGCUUACAGGAGGGUCAAGCCACUGUCAGAGACAGCAGGACCAGCUAACACUACAGACAACCAGAUGGUCAGAGGCAAAUUCAAGAGUUAAGCAACAGAAACCAAGGCCACAUGGCAUCAUCAGGACCCAGUUCUCCCACUACAGCAAGUACUGGGUACCCAAAAACACAGGAAAAGCAAGAUUUUGAUUUAAAAUAACAUCUCAUGAUGAUGUUAGAGGUCUUUAAGAAGGACAUAAAUAACUCCCUUAAAGAAAUACAGGACAACACAGGUAAAUAGGGUAGAUGCCCUUAAAGAGGAAACAAAAGUCCCUUAAAGAAUUACAGGAAAACACAACCAAGCAGGCGAAGGAAUUGAACAAAACCAUCCAGGAUCUAAAAAAGAAAUAGAAACAAUAAAGAAAUCAUAAAGGGAAACAACACUAGGGAUAGAAAACCUAGGGAAAAGAUCAGGAGUCAUAGAUGCAAGCAUCACCAACGGAAUACAUGAGAUAGAAGAGAUACCAGUGGUAGAAGAUACCAUAGAAAACAUCGACAUAAGCAUCAAAGAAAAUGUAAAACACAAAAAGCUCCUAAGCCAAAUCAUCCAGGAAAUCUAGGACACACUGACAAGUUAAAACCUAAGGAUAAUAGGUAUAAAAGAGAGUGAAGAUUCCCAACUUAAAGAGCCAGUAAAUAUCUUCAAGAAAAUUAUAGAAGAAAACUUCCUUAACCUAAAGAAAGAGAUGGCCAUAAACAUAUAAGAAGCCUACAGAACUCUAAAUAGACUGGACAAGAAAAGAAAUUCCUCCCUCCAUAUAAUAGUUCAAAUACCAAAUGCACAAAAAAAAAAAAAAAGAAAAGAAAAGAAAAAAAGCAGUAAGGGAAAAAGUUCAAGUAACAUAUAAAGGCAGACGUAUCAGAAGUACACUAGACUUCUCACCAGAGACUAUGAAAGCCAGAAGAUCCUGGGCAGAGAUCAUACAGACCCUUAGAGAACACAAAUGCGAGCCCAGGCUACUAUAUCCAGUAAAACUCUCAAUUUACCUAGAUAGAGAAACCAAAAUAUUCCAUGACAAAAUCUAAUUUACACAAUAUAUUUUCACAAAUCCAGCCCUACAAAGGAUCAUAGAUGGAAAACUCCAAAACAAGGAGGAAAACUACACCCUAGAAAAAUCAAGAAAGUAAUCUUCUUUCAAUUAAUCUAAAAGAAAAUACCCACACAAACAUAUUACACCUCUAACAAAUAAAAUAACAGGAAACAAUCAUUGGAUCCUAAUAUCUCUCAUCAUCUAUGAGCUCAAUUCCCCAAUAAAAAGACAUAGCCUAACACAGUGGAUACAUAAACAGGACCCAGCAUUUUGCUGCAUACAGACAACACACCUCAGUGAUGAAGACAGACAGUACCUCAGACUAAAAGGCUUAGAAAAUUUUUUCCAAGCAAAUCUUCCCAAGAAACAAGCAUGAGUAACCAUUCUAAUAUUGGUUAAAACAGACUUCGAACCAAAAAUAAACAAAAAAGAUAAGGAAGGACACUACAUACUUAUCAAAAAAAAUCCAUCAAGAUGAACUCUCAGUUCUGAAUAUCUAUGCUCCAAAUGCAAGAGCACUUACAUUCAUAAAAGAACCUUUAUUAAAACUCAAAGCACACAUUGCAUCUCAUACAAUAAUAGUGGGAGACUUCAACACCCUACUCUCUUCAAAAAACAGAUUGUGGAAACAUAAACUAAAACGAGACACAGUGAAACUAACAUAAGUUAUGAACCAAAUGGAUUUAACAGAUAUCUAUAGAACAUUUCAUUCUAAAACAAAAGAAUAUACCCUUCUUUCAGCACCCAAUGACAUGUUCGCCAAAACUGACCAUAUAAUAUGUCACAAAACAGGCCUAAACAGAUAGAAAAUAGAAAUAAUCCUAUGCAUCCUGUCAGAUCACCACAGACUAAGGCUGGUCUUCAAUAACAACAGAAACAACAGAAAGCCCCCGCACCCCAGAAGCUGAACAACGCUCUACUCCAUGAUAACUUGGUCAAGGAUGAAAUAAAGAGAGAAAUUAAAAACUUUUUAGAAGUUAAUGAAAAUGAAGGCACAACAUCUCCAAAUUUAUGAUACACAAUGAAAGCAGUGCUAAGAGGGAAACUCAUAGUUCUGAGUGCCUCCAAAAAGAAAUUGGAGAAAGCAUACACUAGCAGAUUGACAGCACACCUGAAAGUUCUAGAACAAAAAGAAGCAAAUACACACAAAAGGAGUAGAGUGCAGGAAAUUAUCAAUCUCAGGGCUGAAAUCAACCAAGUAGAAACAAAAAGAACUAUAAAAAAAUCAACAAAAACAGAAGUUGGUUCUUUGACAAAAUCAAUAAAAUAGAUAAUCUCUUAGCAAGACUAACCAGAGGGUAUGGAGACAGUAUUCAAAUUAACAAAAUCAAAUUAUGAAAAGGGAGACAUAACAACAGAAACUGAGGAAAUUUAAAAAAAUCAACAGAUGCUACCACAAAAGCCUAUAUUCAAAAAAAGUGGAAAACCUGGAUAAAAAUUUUCUAGACAGAUACCAGGUACCAAAAUUAAAUCAGGAUAAGGUAAACAGUCUAAACAGUCCUAUAACCCCUAAAGAAAUAGAAGCAAUCACUAAAAUUCUGGCAAUCAAGAAAAGCCAAGGACCAGACGGAGUUUGAACAGAAUUCUAUCAGAUCUUCGUAGAAGACCAAACACCACUACUCUUCAAACUAUUCCAAGCAAUAGAAACAGAAGGAGCACUACCCAACUCUUUACCCACAAUAUGCUUAUACCUAAACCAUACUAAGACCCUAAAAAGAAAGAGAAUUUCAGACCAAUUUCCCUUAUGAAGAGUGAUGCCAACACUCAAUAAGAUGCUUAGAAACCAAAUCAAAUAACACAUCAAAACAAUCAUCCAUCAUGAUCAACUAAGCUUCAUUCCAGGGAUUCAAGGGAUUCAAUAUACAGAUUCAAAUGAUUCAAUAUACAGAAAUCCAUCAAUGUAAUCCACUAUAUAAACAAACUCAAAGGGUGGAAAAAAACCACAUGAUCUUCUCAUUAGAUUCUGAGAAAGCAUUUGACAAAAUUCAAUAGCCCUUCAUGGUAAAGGACUUAGAAAGAUCAGAAAUUCAAGGCCCAUAUCUAAACACACUAAAAGCAAUAUACAAAAAAAAAAACAACUAGAAAACAUCAAACUAAAUGGAAAGAAACUUGAAACAAUCCCACUAAAAUCAGGGACUAUACAAGGCUGCCCAUUCUUUCCCUAACUAUAAAUAUAGUACUAAGCAUUCUAGCCCAAGCAAUUAGACAACAAAAUGAGGUCAAAAUGACACAAAUUGGAAAGAAAGAAGUCAAAAUAUCACUAUUUGCAGAUGAUGUGAUAGUAUACUUCAGUGACCCCAAAAAUUCUAGCAGGGAACUACUACAGCUGAUAAACAACUUCAGCAAAGUGGCUGGAUAAUAAGUUUACUCAAACAAAUCAGUAGUCUUUCUCUACUCAAAGGAUAAACAGGCUGAAAAAAAAUUAGGGAAACGACACUUUUCAAAAUAGUCACAAAUAAUAUAAAAUACCUCGGUGUGACUCUAACCAAACAAGUGAAAGAUUUGUAUGACAAGACUUCAAGUCUCCAAAGAAAGAAAUUGAAGAUCUUAGAAGAUGGAAAGAUCUCCUAUGCUCAUGGAUUGGCAGGAUUAAUAUCAAAGAAAUGACCAUCUUGCCAAAGGCAAUCCACAGACUCAAUCCAUCCCCAUCAAAAUUCCAACUCAAUUCUUCACAGAGUUAGAAAGAGCAAUUUGCAAAUUCAUUUGGAAUAACAAAAAACCCAGGAUAUUGGAAACUUUCUCAACAAUAAAAGAACUGCUGGGGAAUCACCAUCCCUGACCCUAAGCUAUAUUACAGAGCAAUAGUGAUAAAAACUGGUAUUGGUACAGAGACAGGCAGGUAGGUCAAUGGAAUAGAAUUAAAGAUCCAAAAAUGAACCCACACAACUUUGGUCACUUGAUCUUUGACAAAGGAAGUAAAACCAUCCAAGGAAAAAAAGAUAGCAUUUUCAACAAAUGGUGCUGGUUCAGCUAGAGGUCAGCAUGCAGAAGAAUGCAAAUCAGUCCAUUCUUAUCUCCCUGUACAAAGCUCUAGUCCAAGUAGAUCAAGGAGCUCCACGUAAAACUGACAAACUGACACUAAGAAGAAAAUUGGGGAAGAGCCUUGAAAUAGGGGCAAUGAGAAAAAUUUCCUGAAAAGAACACCAGUGGCUUAUGCUCUAAGUUAAGAAUCAUCAACAAACGAGACCUCAAAAAUUGCAAAGCUUCUGCAAGUCAAAGGACACUGUCAAUAUGACAUCCAACUGAUUGAGAAAAGAUCUUUACCUAUCCUACAUCUGAUAGAGGUCUAAUAUACAAUAUAUACAAGGAACUCAAGAAGUUAGACUCGAGAGAAUCAAAUACCCCUAUUAAAAAUGGGUUACAGAGCAAAACUAAGAAUUCUCAAUUGAGGAUAUAAAAUGGCUGAGAAGCACCUAAAAAUGUUCAACAUCUUUAGUCAUCAGGGAAAUGCAAAUUAAAACAACCUUGAAAUUCUAUCUCACACCAGUCAGAAUAGCUAAGAUCAAAAACACAGGUGAAAGCACAUGUUUGUAAAGAUGUGGAGAAAGAGGAACACUCCUCCAUUUUGGGCGGGAUUGCAAGCUCUGAAACCACUCUGGAAAUCAGUCUGGUGGUUCCUCAGAAAAUUGACAUAGUACUACCUAAAGACCCAGCUAUUCCACUACUGGGCAUAUACCCAAAAGAUGCUCCAACAUAUAACAAGGAUACAUGUUCCACUAUGUUCAUAGCAGCCUUAUUUAUCAUAGUUAGUUGCUGUAAAGAACCCAGAUGUCCUUCAACAGAGAAAUGAAUACAGAAUAUGUGGUACAUUUACAUAAUAAAGCACUACUCAGCUAUUAAAAACAAUGACUACAUGAACUUCUUAGGCAAAUGGAUGGAACUAGAAAAUGUCAUUCUGAGUGAAGUAACCCCGUCACAAAAGAACAUACCUGGUAUGUAUAAGUGGAUAUUAACUCAAAAGCUUAGAAUACACAAGAUACAUUUCAGAGACCACAUGAAGCUCAAGAAGAAAGAAGACUAAAGUGUUUAUGGUUCAGUCCUCCUUAGAAGGAGGAACAAAAUAUUCACAGGAGGAAAUACAGGGAUAAAAUGUGGCCUUAAGGAAAGGCCAUCCAGAGAAUGCCCCACUAGGGCAUCCAUCCUGUAUACAUCCACCAAAUCCAGACAAUAUUGCUGAUGCCAAGAAGUGCACGCUGACAAGAGCCUGAUAUAGUUGGAUCCUGGGAGGCUAUUCCAGAGCCUGACAAAUAUAGAGUCUGAUGUCUGCAGCCAACCAUUGAACUGAAAAUGGGUCCCCAAUGGAGGAGUUAGAGAAAGGACUGAAGGAGUAGAAGUGGUUUGCAACCCCAUAAGAAGAACAACAAUAUCAACCAAGCUGAACUCCCAUAGCUCCCCAGGACUAAACCACCAAAGAAAGAGUACACAUUGAUGAGCCCAUGGCUCCAGCCACAUAUGUAGUAGAGGAUGGCCUUGUUGGGCCUCAAUGGGAGGAGAGGCCCUUCUUCCUGCCAAGCCUCUAUGCCCCAGUGUAGGGGAAUGUCAGGAUAGGGAUGUGGGAGGAGGGGACACCCACAUAGAAGCAGGGGGAGAUAGCAUUUUUUCUGAGGGGAAAAUGGGAAAGGGGAUAACACUUUAAAUAUAAAUAAAAAAUAUCCAAUAAAAGUGUAAAAAUAAAUUAAUAAACACUAGUAAGACUGAAAAUGUUCAGGUCAUGAUGCUUUCAUGUAAGCUGCUAGGAAAUAGAGAGAGUGAUUACAUCCUGUCAGAAAGAAGGCAAAACCUAUUAGUUUAUAUUAGAUAUUCUCUAAAAGCUGAAAUUCCUUCACGAAAAGGAAACUCACUAGAGUAAAAAUAUAUCAAAAAUUUCCUUUUCAGAAAGCACAGUAGGGUAUACUGUAAACAGUAUUUUCUAAUGUUAUUUAGGGAAAAAAGAUAAAUGUAUUUAAUUAUAAAAUUAAGGAGAAUAUGUAAUUACCAAUUAAUACUUCUAUUAAAAGUUUUUAUGAUAUCUAGCAAUGUGUUACUUUACUUUGCUGACACUCUCAGUGAUCACAAUAUUUUAUAGAGAGGAGAAAUCAUCUCUCCCAAGUUUCUUCUUUUUACUGAUUUAUUCUUUUACCACAGUUUGAAUAAAUGUUGUCAUAAACAUUAUGUUUUCUAAUAUACCAUGGAGUAUUUAAAUUGCAACCUUAGUCAUCCCAUGAUACUCCUGUGCUUGUCAAACACAGAUGAUUACACUCUUUGUCUAAUGCUUAGAUUUUCAGAAAUAUUGUUAAAAGCUGUCACUUGGGGAGAGUCUCCUUAUCCAGAGGCUAAACAGAAAUUACCAUAAACCUCACAACUACUUGUAUUUCGAAACUAAAAUCCAUCAAAGAUACAACAUAAAAAAAAGAUAAAUAUUUCUCCUUCUAAAUAUGUUUCUGAAAUGGAACAUGAUAUUUUGUUCUAAACAUAAAUAGAUUAAAUACGAAAUACCCAGUUAAAUUUGACUUCAAGCACAAACUUAUUUGGGUACAUGGGUAUUUUUCUUCACAGAUAAAUGUGGAUCCCCUUAGUUCUCUACAUCCUCCUCUUGCACACAUGCAGCCAUUACCUUUUCCCGAUUAAAUCUGUCAAAUCUUUCCAUUGUCACACCUCGAUGCUCAAUAGUUCUUUGACAGGUCUCAUAGAAGUACUCACGGAUAACAGUGAAACGGUAAUAUUUUGAAGUUCCUUAAUACAACUGUACACUGUUCAUACACUCGACAUUGGGAGGUGGUAGUAAGAAAAGAAAAAGCCAAGACUUUGACAUGUGUGUGGGUGGUUUCUUCCCCACACUACUUGCCUAGGUUUGCUUCUGGAAAUAAGAAUUGAACAACAGCUAAGCUAGAGUCUGCCAAUGCCUGCCUCAAAGCAUGAUUCCUUAAUGGUGCACAUGCUAUUAUUCAAAAACAAAUUAAACCAGCAAGUUCUGCAGAAAACCAAUCAACCAAUUCAGGUUAGGCAGUAACUUAAUUUGAACCAACGUCCCUUACAUUCACCCAAUAUGAUGUAUUGUGAUUCUGAGAUGUCAGUGUUUAAGAGCAUCAUAACAAGUCACUCAAAAAUUCUAUACAAGCAUCCUACUGGAACAUGGUUUUUGUUUUCUUGUAAAUCCUUAUCUGUCCUGUAGCUUAUUUCAAUAGGUUUUAUUCUUCUCAAUGCCAUAAAAACAUAAUUGGAAAAUUUACACAUAGAACAGAAAGCUAAGGAUAAUAAGAACAAGAUUCUAGCCUGACGAAAUAUUUGACCCAAGCUUCAGUUACACUUCAUAAUGCAUACAAGAAAGAUUAUGAUACAAAUUCAAGAGUAUCAGCAUCUUAAAAGCAAGCUAUCAGUGUGCAUGCUCUUUCCCUUGUACUGUCCUUUUUCAUAGAUUUAGGCUCUUACUCUAUGUUUUGUACAGAUCUUGCCCCAUUCUCCAUUUCAUCAUUAGCAAACAGAUCAGCUCUGAAGGCAUUGAACUCCCAAGCCCUCCUUCAUCCAUGUCAGAAUAUUGAAGGGCCAAUUCUUGUUCAGACCUAGGGAAAACAUCCACACCUCCUAGGAGUAAGUAGUUGCAAUUUGUUGUUUUCUUUUGUUUAUCUCAGUUAUCAGUAAAGUAUUUUUAAGUGCAUUAUUUUUUAUCAAAUACUAUUAUAUUUAAAAAUUAUUAUACACUAAGCUAUUAGCUAAGGAUCUAUGAAUUGACUUGAUCUAUGAAACUUUCUUUUUUUAUUUUAGUGGAUAUGUUUUUAUUUACAUUUUAAAUGUUAUCCCCCUUCCCCUGGUUUCCCAUCUAUCCCAUCCCCUAUCCCCCUUCUUCUAUGAGGGUGUUCCCCCACCCACCCACAAGUUCCAGCCUCCCUGUCCUGACAUUCCUCUACAUUGAGGCAUCGAGCCUUUGCAGGACCAAGGGCUUCUCCUCCUAUCAGUGUCCAACAUGGCCAUCCUUUGCUACAUAUGCAAUUGGAGUCAUGGGUUCCUCCAUGUACACUCUGGUUGGUGUUUUAGUCCCUGGGAGCUCAAGUCAGUUGGUAUUGUUGUUCUUUCGUAGUUUCAAACCCAUCCAGCUCCUCCAAUCCUUUUUCUAAUUCCUCCAUUGGGAACCCCAUUCUCAGUUCAACAGUUGGCUCUGAGCAUUCGCCUCUGUAUUUGUCAUGCUCUGGCAGAGCCUCUCAGGAGACAUUCAUAUCAGGCUCCUGUAAGCAUGCACUUCUUGGCACUAGCAAUAGUGUCUGGGUUUGAUAUCUGUAUGUUUGGGCUGGAUCCCCAGGUGGGGCAGUCUCUGGAUGGCCUUUCCUUCAGUCUCACUCCACACAUUGUCUCUGUAUCUCCUCCUGUGAAUAUUUUUGUUCCCUCUUCUGAGAAGGACUGAAGCAUCCGCACUUUGGUCGUCCUUCUUCUUGAGCUUCAUGUGGUCUGUGGAUUUUAUCUUGGGCAGUCCGAGCUUUUGAGCUAAUAUACACUUUUUUAAUACUAUGAAAUUAUAUUUCUCUUCUUAAAACUUGAGUUAUCUCCUUUAUAGACUAUUUUUACAUAGAUAAGUCUUACUGAUAUGGCCAAGUUUCUAACAGAUUGACAAGGACAAUGGAAGAAACAAGCCCCUGCCAAUGUUCUGAGCUGCUAGGUUCUUAAUAAAUAACCUCAAAUAUAAAUAUUCUAUUUUACUUCACCUGGUUUGAGUUCCAACUGCAUCAUUUGAAAUUCCUCAUGAUGCAGGAGAACCUCUUAAAAGCAGGCGGUCAGGCUGACUGAGGUUCACAAGCACGUGCUUAGCUUAGUGCAUAGCACAGACUUACACAUGGUGAGACGUAGUACCCCUGCCAAGGAAGACUGUUGGAAUAAAGGAUAUAAAAAAGGACCCUGCUGAGUAAGGAAAGAUGUGGCUGCAGCAGAACUUUGUAAGAAUCCGAAAACAGUAGAAGUAUGAGUGUUAUCAGUCUCUUGUGCAUACCAAUUAUUAGGUAAUAAUAGACAGGCUCUCAAGCAGUCUUUAGGCUUAGUUGGUGGUGUAGGUUUAAAACUCUAAUGAUGUCAAAACUCUCUGGCAUUUAGAUUCUUAUUCCUUGAUAUUACACAUUGAAACUUCAAAUAGUCUUAUUCUUAGUAAACUUAAAAUGUCACAGAUGAAUGGAAAUUUGUGAUCACAGAUAUCAAACUUUGAAACUUCACAACCAUUGUAUAGUAGAUUCACUGGUUCUAAACAAAUUUAAUUUUGUUAGUUAAAAUUUAUGAGGCAAUAGCUGGAAAUUUUUUAUGAAAAAUAUUACAUUCAACUUGAUAUUUUCUACAGGUCUCAUUAAGUUGUGUUGUGAAAACAUGAGAUUCUAUUUCAUAUUUGCUUCAAAAUGAAAAUAUAUCAAGAAAAGAGUCUCUGAUUGAAAUUACACCUAAGUACUAAAUUCUAAAUGGGCAUGAUAGAUCUCUCUUAGUUCAUGCUAAUAUUAUUAUAUACCUUCUCUUCAUCUGCUGCUGGAAAAAUGAAUAAGUAAAGGCCAGUUUAGCUUAUAUGAUUCUCACCAAAUAAAAUACCCUAUCAGCUGUACAUAGAAUGUCUAGGGCUGUAAAUACACUAGGAACAUAUCCUGUCUUCUCAGUGAAAAAGGAUUGGUAAGGCCAGGACUGAGGUCAUCCAACAUUGAAAGCAGUUUCAUUGAUACAGAAAGUGAAGACAUGUCUCAGGAAUGAGAGACCUUGAGAAGCAUCAGUGGCAAACGCUCUUAAUAACCCAAAAUGAAAGAUUAGUAAAAAGUGACUCUCUACAAGUCUUGAUUCUGUAAAGAGACACCCAUGUGACCUACAAUGAUGACCUGUCUACCUUAUGUGCUGGUACAACAGGGGCACAAACCUUGUGAGAGUAACCAACCACUCUCUAAUUGAAUUUAAGGCAUGUUUUUUAAGAUAGAACCCAUGCCUGAGACUACUUGGGUGGACAAUAACAUAAGACUAGAUAGGCCAUGGGCCUCAGAGAGAACAAAACAGCACUGUUCUGCUUAGGAAGCAUAACAAUGAAAUGGCUCCUAAAAACAUUCUACUAUCCCCAUAGAUCACUGCUUUUCUCAGCCAUUAUCAGAGAAGGUUUAGAAGAUCUUACAAAGUGAGAGACUUCAGAGGACUCAAUGCUAAGUGGAGUGUCAUUAUUAAGCCCUAUUCUCAGAGGUCAGGAAGCUAUGCUGAAGAGGAAGCAGAAAGCCUGGAAGAGCCCGGAGUGAUGGAAAACACUAAGGCAGCAGUGCUUUGCAGACAAACAGGACUGACCCACAGGAAGGCUCACACUGACUGCAUGCCCUGGGUCUGCACAGCUCCAAGCUACACUGAGUCCCAAGCACUGAGACAGGGAAGUGGACGCAGACUCACACACCUAACCAAGAUGCUUUCUGCAACUGUAAAGAAAAGUCAGUUUUCUCCAAGGAAGUCUCAACAGAUAUGGUAACCAACCACAUUUUAGAGUAGGCCCAUUCCUAAGGGUCAACACAAAAUAAAUUCAAUGCAAUUUUUGAGGCUUUUUUCUCACAUUAAUUUGUUUAGCCAUUUUUCAUCCUAUUGGUUUUUUUGUUUGGAUAUUUUUAUGAGUUUUAAUGGCAUGCAGGAUGUCCCAAGCAAGAAUUCUGUAGAAGUGAACCUAUGCCUCAGAAAGAGCUGAACUAGCCAAUACAGUUUCUCUAAAAUAAAUACUCCAUGAUUUGUCUUACCAAAAAAAAAUCUCCUUUACUACAACAAAUAAAGCAUUGCUACAGAAAGAAAAGAAACCUUAGGAUUCCGAGGCAUAAAUUACAGUGAAAUUCCUAAAUAUUAGCUUUAACUUUGAGAGAUUUUAUUUAUAUAGGACCUAUUUGUAUAUAUACCUUAUUUUUAUAUAUUAUAAUAUUGUUGUGUUAUUUAUUUGGUUUUGUUUCUGGUAAUAAAUCUAAAGGUUUAUACUUCCCUAUUUAAAUCACUUGAUUAUCAUCUUACAUAGUACUUUGGUAUAUGGAAAUAUCACUUCUGAUUUAACCAUUUCAUAACUGAUAACUAUGUAGAUUAUAUGAAGUCUUUGCUAAUAUAAAACAAUCUCAUAAAUACCUCUUAUCUCAUGUGAAAGAAUAAGCAUGUAAAAGGCAGGCUGUCCUAAUGUGCAUAUAGGUUUUUCAUAAAUAUUAAUGUUUAUAAAGAAUUGGUACUUAUCAUUAACAAUAGAUGGAAGUCCUUAAAUUCUUUCAGCUUUAACCAAAUUCCUCAAUAUUUUAAUCGAAAUUCAUUGUACUUACAGAUAAAAAUAAAGAAAUGUGCAUGUAUAAAAUGUCCUGUGCAUGAAAUUCAAGUUCCCUUGAGGAUCUUUUGAAAGCCAAAUUUUCUUAAGACCAAUAAUGAACAGAUAAUUUUCCACAUUAGGGAGAGUUAUGUGGGCCUGAAGUACAACCUGGGCUUCCUAAUAAUCAGUUCUUGUCAUUGGGAGUCCAACUAAUUACCACAGGCAUUCCUUGCUAUUAGGUCACAGCAGGAACACACUGGACAAAUAGGAAUGAGUACUACCUCCUCCCCUUAAUUCUCUCCUUAAUUGCCACACAGAAGGAAACAGAUAAAACUACCAAAUAGCAUGCUACAAACUGAAUGUCCUGUAGUUCCUGGGUAGUCACCUAAAAUCCAUUUUCAUUUGUUUCAUGUUAACAGUUUUGCUAAAUAGGUGACUUUCUUAAUCCAAAGAAAAUGAAUUUCCCAGGAUCCUCUACAGCAAUUAUUAUCACCUGUUAAUUUCUAACCAAUAAAAUAUACAGAUCUUGACCACUGAUUUUUCAAUGAAAUUGGCUUCCAUUUACCUAUGUAUGUUUUCUUUUCCAAGUUAGCAUGGGAGUACUACAGCGACCCAGCUUUAGCCUGGGACAGAACACUGGGAACUUGAAAUGCCUGAGUGUACAGCACAAGAAUGUGAGAUUGGUAACUUAGUGACGUGAACUUCUUGGACAUGGUGAACUGGAUACACUGUAAUGGAAGGAGAAAUUAACUCCUAUCUCCUAUCAUAUAUAUUAAAUCAAUAUAUAUGUCAAGCACCUUUUGUAUGCAAAUACAAACACACAAAUACACACACUGAACUACAUAGCUAUAUAUACACGCAAAGACUAGAAAAUGAGCAAACUGGGUAUCAAACGUAAAAAUAUUUAGGCACCAGUCAUUAAGACAGCAAGAGGGAAGAGUAAGUUUAACCCAAUAUAGAACUGUUCACAUUGAUUUAACACUAUAGAAACGCUAGAAGAAAACAUCACUAACCGUCAGACAUUUGUUCUUUACUCAGAAGAUUAUUAUUUACAAGAGAAUAGCAGCUAUAUUUGGAAAUAUUUAAUUCCUAUUUGGAAAUAUUUAAUUCACAUAAACUUUGAGUUACAUCACAAAUUAGGGAUAUAGGUCGAAUAUAGAGCACCUGCCUAGCUCAUGCACAAGGCCUAGGUUCAAUCCUUGAUACUACAAAAUUUUUCCAUCUUAAUUACUGCUUGGAGCUUUUAAAUUAUCAAAGUACUGCUCUACCAAUUUUUAUGGGAAAUAUAGCUAACAUCUUCUAGUUAGUUUAAAUUACUUCAUUAUAAGACACUUUACCCAAACUUCUUCACCAAAUGAUUAGUAUGUGUCAGAAAUUAUAAGCAUGCAAGAACCAGGGUCUGUGGUGUAGUUCAGUGGUAUUUUGCUCGCCUUUUGGGCACAGGAGUUUGAUCCCUGAAGCAGAGUGUAGGAGAAGAUAUUAGGGGUAGGUUAUAGAAGAAAACAAACUACAGUGAAACUGAACAAAUAAAGAAUACUAAGAAUGAACUAAAAAAAUAAUUUCUGAAUUUAACUCACUGAUAGUUUUUGGACUGUAAAAUGUUUUAUUUCUUAAACAAAAAUUCACACAAUGAAUAAAGUUUCAAUUAAAUUAGAAUAAUUCUCACAUGCAUCAUUUCUUUUUAAUUUAGCUUGUGUUAGCAAUGGUAUGUAAAUAGGGCUGAGAUAAUAAUCCAUUCUCUCCGUAUGACACUUGAUGCUAUGUCUUUCUGUUGGAGAUGGGUUCAAUAAGUUCCCUCUCCCCACUGUAGGGCAUUUCAUCUAGGGGUCCCCCCUUUAGAUUCCUGAGAGUCUCUCACUUCCCAGGUCUCUGGUCCUCCCAACUGCCUUCAUUCUGAGGUCACCUGUCUCCAUUCUUUCUGCUGACCCUUUCCCCCCACCCAAUAUCAGAUCACAUUCCCCUCUUCCCCACUACCAUCCCUUUUCCCUUCCCUGUCUCUCCCUCCCCUCACCCCUUGUGGUUUCUUUCUUCUCCCUUCCAAGUGGGACUGAGGUGUCCUCACUUAGGCCCUUCAGCCUAACUCCUUAAUUCUUCCUGUCCGAAAGAAAUGCAGGGAUGGAAAUGAAGAAGAGCCUGAGGAAAAGAAGGUCCAGCAAUAGACCAAAAGUGGGAUCCAGCUCAAGGGGAGGCCCUGAGGCCUGACACCAUUACUGAAGCUAUGGGGCAUUCACAAAAAGGGACCUAUCAUGACUGCCCUCCAAAAGACCCAAUGGACAGCUGAAAGAGUCAGAUGCAGAUAUUUACACCCAACUAAUGAACAGAAACUGCUGAACCCUCCGGUUGAAUUAGGAAAAAGUUGGGGGAAGCUGAGAAGGGCAACCCUGUAGGAGGACCAGCAGUCUCAAUUAACCUGGACCCCCCAAGAUCUCUCAGACACUGAAUCACCAACCAGGCAGCAUACACGAGCUGAGGUCUCUAACACAUAUACAGCAGAAGACUGUGGGGUCUGUGUUCAGUCAGAGAAGGUGGACCUAACCCCCAAGAGACUGAAGCCCCCAGGAAGUUUAGAGGUCCUGUGGGUGGGUGGGGCGUCCUUCUGUAGACCCUGGGGGCUAUGAGAUGUGGUACUGUGGGAAGGGGAGUGGACUGGAAGGGGAAUAAAAUAUGGAGUGUAAAAAUUAAUUAAUUAAUUAAUUAAAAAAAUCCAUCCUCUCCUCAAACCACAAUAAUUCCAAGAAUACAGCUCAGGUUAUCAGGUGUGGCAAAUGACUUUAUCUUCUGAAUCAUGUGAUUACCCUUUAAAGACGAAGAUGCAUCUUUCAUAUAUCUAAAACAUUUUAAAAGGACUAAGCCUAGUUAGGGGACUCUGCCACCAAAAUGAAGACUGCACAUCCUAAGAAUAUGACAAUAAACACACCAAGAAUAUUUUAUCUCAAAUCAUCAAAAUAAGAUUGUUCCUGAAGUGUCUUCUGUCUUUAUAAUGAAGUAUACCAUGUAAUCAGUGUGUAGCACUCUCACAAAAGAAUGUAAUAAAUUUUCCUCAGCCUAGUGCUAUAUUUUUUUACAGAUUUUUGAAUUCACAUGUAUGUAUGAAUGCUGUGCCCUCCCCCCGCCCAAUUCCUUUGCUAUGACCCAGCAAAUAACCUGUGUUCUUAUGUGCACGCGGUACUUUUUUUUAUUUAGCAUUCCAACCAAGGAAGUUGACUUACUCUAAGUAUUAAAGUGUAAGCUACUGCUGUUCUCUUGAAAUUCUGUACAUUCCUGUAGCUAAUUAAAGCCCAGAGAUUCGUGUCAGCUCACAGAAGCAGACAAACAGACAAACAAAAAACAGGAGAUACUUCAGGGACCAUCUCCUUUUGAUGACUUGAGCUGUAACAUUUCUUGGUGUCUUUAUUGUCAAAUUCCUAGGCUGUGAGGUCUUCAUUUUGGAGGCUGAGUCACUAACUAGCAUAAGUCCUUUUAAAGUGUUUUAGCUUAUAAAAACAUGGCAGAGCAUCGUCAGUGAAGUAUACGCAUUACUGAUUUGACUCUUGGUGAAAGCAAGUCUAUUAUUAGCACCUCUGUUUUAUGAUCAACAAUUUUACAAACAAAACAAAUUUUCCCAGAUUUGUCCUAUCCCAAAUCUACAAUAUAAAUUGACUUACCUUUGCAGCUUCGCAGUUUCCUAGUACUUAUUCCCAAGGCUCCCUUUGCCUUCCCCAUUUUCAUUCAAGAGUAUGCUGGGAUGGCUAGUAUCCCUAACUCAGGAUGCACACACUCUGACACCUCUAUGACAAGAGACUUGAUUCACUACAUUGUUUCUUCGCAUUCACGAAUUUAGAUUUUUUUUUUACUUUUUCAGAAUGAGCCAUGUUAUUGUGAGAGGUCAAACCUACUCCAUCUUGAGACUGUCCUCCAUAUUAAAAGAAAAGUGGCCUGAGAACUUGACCCACAACUGAACUCAAGCUGCACCCAAGUUCCAGGAAGAACCACAUAGCUUGUCUCUGGCCCAUGCCCCAGAGUUACUCCCUAGCAACAGCCAAUCUGCAUUAGCCUGGUAGUUCCAAAUGUACUUUAAGCCGGUUUGUGACUGUGCACGGUUUUUCUUCAGAGCACUCUCAUGUCAGCUUAUAAUAGUCAUUUAAUUAGAUGUUUGCCAGGCUGCAACCUCUUGCGUGUUUGCCAUUUCCUAUAAAACCUUGUCCUGCUGAGGCAUCAGUCUUCACUCUCCCAUCCUGCUGCAUCAGUGACAGCAGUGAGCCCAAGCUCAAGUUUGAAUAAAGGCCCUAGUGCGAUUGCACUGAAUUGGUUCCUUGGUGGUCUUGUGGGUUCGCGCAUGCUGCCUAAGUUUAGGCGCAACAGUUGUAAUACCUAUAAACACUGCAGAUACUGCUGUAUCAAUUUUUCCCCUUCUUCUUAGAUCCAUGGCUCCUUUUCCUAUUUAUUAAAUGUUUUGUAAGUUGAUCUAAUAUAAUAAACUUAGGACAGAGAAGAAAAUGUUUACCCUGAAAGGAAUAUAUUUGUGAAAACUGUUACAAAUUCUGACUUGACUUCCUAUUGGAAAAUGGUGGCUAGAUCCUCUUGCUCAAGUGCACAGUAAGCUGUUGAUGUUGAGACCAUAAGGGUUUUUCAACAGCAAAGGACAAAUAAAACAGUAAGAAAUGAUAUUUAGAAAAAGUUCUUAAGGAAAAAAAUUCCAAUGCUGUUUCUACCUUUUCUUGUGUGUUUACUAUGAAACAGUGGCAUUAAAUGAUUGGAUAAUGAAAACUAGAAAUGCUGUUAAAUGGAAAAUCUUUUUAAAACAUCAUAUAUUACAUGAAAAACUUCAAAGACAAUAUAACACAACACAGAGUUGAAUUAUUUCUGCCACAAUUAUUCUUUUAAUGAAAUAUGAUGAUAUCUGUAUGUUACUGUAAUCUUAGAUACUGAAAAAUAAUGAUCCCACCCACAUACAAGUGCAUAUACAAACACACAGGGGCCCAAGGGGGAGAUUGGACAGUACUGUUCCUUUCAAGUUAUCUAGGGUAUAGAAAAGAACUACAUCAUAUAGAAUUUCAAGUGCUAUUCUAAAACCGCAUGAAUAAAUACAGACAUUAAUUAAUGAUCACACAUUACAUCUUCCCAAAAAUCAUAUCAACACUUGAGUGUGAUAGUUUUCACAUAUAUUUUUAGAAUAAAUGAUAAUGGUGUCAAAUGAAAAGAAUGUUGAAGAAAGAAAUGUGUCCCAAAGGAAUACAUAUUUCAAUUCCUAUAAUAGUCAAGCACAGAGUCAUAGCAUUUUUCCAAUACAAAUAAGAAUUUCUGAACCUAGAAGAAAAUCCACAUAUCCCAUAAAGAUGCUAAAGGCCUUAUCUUUUUCCAUCCAUAGUAGUGCCUACAGUGAUAUUCAUUUUUUACUAUAAAGUGAUGAAUUUUAUUGAAAAGAAUUAUUACAUUUAGAUAUGGCUUGGUAUCCAAUUUGAUGUUUAGAAUAUAAUAUGGUGAAGCAGCUAUGCUUUGAGAUCAAUAUGAAGUAAAUUAUUCAUAAAAAUCAAUACUAAGUUCACAGAGACUUACUAAUAAUGGCAUGAAAUACUAGGUUUGCAUAAUAAUAUGAUAAAAAAUGUGUGCUAGAAAAAAAUCCUGCAAAGUGAAUAAGCACUUCUUGAUUCAACAAUUUUUAUUCAAAUUCUUGCAAAGAUUGUCACCUACGGUAUCUAAUUACAGGAACCUGUGUUGAGGUUUAAGGUUUAACUUGAGGAGAGGAACCUCAUCCUCUUCGCCUGUGUACAGCUUCAAUGUGCUUACUCCAAGUGAACGCAAGCUGCCAUACGGUGGCACAGAACACAGAAAUCUAUAGAGGAGGCAGAAUAGGGAGAGGAACACCGCAAGAAUUAGCUAGCAUAUAAUGGGGAGAAGCGAAGGGAGGGAGGAAUACAAAUUUUCAGAAAAAAUAUUUUGAAUAAUCUUACUCAUUUGAAGGAAUUCUCAAGAAAGUAAACUUGCACUAAAUUAAGGGUGUAAAAAUUGUGCAAACAGCUGAAAUGGCUGACAAUAGAACAGUAGAUUAAUAUGUAUGGCCAAGGUGAAUAAUGAAUCAUGUCACCACCAGACAUUAAAAAUUUUAAUGUCUAAGAUGUGACCUAUACACUAUUAUUAAAAUCAUAAAAUUCCAAAUACUACUAUAAAUUUGAAAUUAUAAAAAGAAAAUACAAAAAGAAGAGAAGAUUAAAAACUAUACAGAAUGUAUAUUGGUUGUAAAAUCAUUGGUUACUAAAGUGCACACGUUCUGUUGGAUUGAAAUGGCUCAUCAGUUAAGGAUUCCUGUUGCUCUUACAGAAAAUCUGGGUUACAUUUGCAAAAUCCAGAGGGCAUGGCUUGCAAUCCUUUGGAAAUACGGUGCUCUUCUUGCUGCUAUGGAUGCCUAUAUACCUGUACAUAAUGCACACAUUAUAGAUACAUACAUGCACGCAUACAUGCAUACAUAUGCACACAUACAGAAAGAGAGAAAUAAUAACUAAAUUUUUACAAUUAAAACUAUAUUUUGCUUUUUCUUUCUUAAAUAUACUAUCUAUAGCAUUCUGAACGCUCAGCAGCAACUACUGUUUUAAUAAAGAAAAAUUAUAAGCAUACAAUGUUUGAAGAAAUUGUCUGAAAUCAAUUUUAAAUAAAAUUCUUUUAAGUAGAUAUACUUUUCUAUCAGAAAAUUCCCCCAAAAGACCUUAAUUUUGUAGUGCGUAUCACUUAGUUCUUUCUAUCAAAUCAUCUUAAAGUAGCAAUAAAUGUUACCUAAGGUCUCUGUCUUCCCUCGCUGUUGUCCACAAACAGUAACACUAAUGUAAAACUGACACUUCAUUUCCUCAGCUCCUACUCAGACUGAAGCACACUCAGGGCAUAGGAAGAACUAGGGGCCGGUGCUAGUUUAUUUCUACAGUGUGCUUCAGUCUCUACCUACGAUCGCUGGUACCAUAACUUUUCUAUCUGAGAAAUUAUUUAUGAGUCUUACUAAGAGAGAGGAGAGGAGAGAGAAAGAACUAGUUUACUUUCAGUUGGUUUUUUUAUUUUGUUCUAAGAAACAUGUUUAUGUGGCAGAAAAACUAUAAAACUGGUUUCAUUUUUAAUCCUAGCAUGGCUGCCAGGAUCUAAUUAAUAGGUUAAGGCAUCUUUAAAAAACUUUACGUUUUUUUAUAUUACUUCGUAGUCACAGACAUUCAUAUUACAGCAUGGAUUUAAACAUGAAAACCAGAUCUCUGUCACUGGAAGCUCUAAUUCCACUCUGGGAAGCAUCAGUUGGAUACUAUUUCAAAGACUGCACCAACGUAAAGAUGCUAUCUUUGAACUUUACAGCGGUCCCCUUCCCUGAAGGUCCUAAAGCGCAGCAGCAGUUAUAGUUAUGGUUUUAAGGAUAAAGUAUUGAGUAAGACCAAUGCUCCACUACAAAACGACUGAAGGAAUCCUGUGAGGGCUACUAGAACUCCUCGUGUGCAUUUCUCUAAGGCAAGGCUGAUGUUCAAAUGCAAACCUUGCACAUAAGUGGGAAAAGCAAACUAAGGUCUAAUUCUUCCACUUCCUGCAUUGGUCUGAAUGUCUUGUAUCCUAGGUGGUGUCAUCCAAUCCUCUAGAAACAGGCUUCCCUGGAUUGUUUUUUGUUUUGUUUUGUGUUGUUUCCUCUCUUAAGAGCACAGAAGAUGAUAAGUGAGAAAAAUAUUAAACUUUAUAAACGCAUAUAAAAUUUAAAACUAACCAAGGAGACAAUAGAGUAGGAUUGAGACAGGGAGGCUUACCUAGCUUUUGUCAGUAACGUUAAAGGAAAACAACAGGUACAAUGACUGAAGAGAAAGUAUAACGCAGAAUCCCCCUUUUAACUCAGAAGAAACUGCCCAAAGAACGUGGGGCUAACUCCUCUGGAUCAUCCCUGCUCACCAACACAACUUGUAUCUCACUUGCCCACCCUCCCAGGAUUGCCUAUCCUGAAAGACAGCAAGCAUGCUAUUUUGACCAUCGUUUUAUCUCCAAGAAACAGCAGAGAUUUAAAGAAAUAUUAACUAAUUUAGGAAGUAAUAACAAGCAGCUCAUUAGCUCUACGAUAUUAAUGUGAAAUAAGAAUAAGAAUAAUGUUUGCUAUACAUUUUAACAAAAAUACCACUACUAUACCAAAACUUCUUAAAAAUUAGGUUUAAAACUUCAUUAUCUACUCGUUGAGAAUUUGAAAGUAUUUUGACCAUGUCCAUCCUCUGUUCCUGCUUUCAUGUUCUCCCGAAGACAUCCCUGUGGAACCUUCCCGACUUCCCAUUCUCCUAUUUUCCUUUCUUUCCUGUAAGGGUUGAGAAUAGUUGGGAUGGUAUGUGCAUGGGUGUAGGGCCAUCCAUUGGGUAACAGACAACCUAGGAGAGGCCACACCCCUGAAAAAAUGGACUCCCCCACCAUAGCAGCCAUCAACGGCUAAUAACUUUCAGCCAGGACUGGGCCUUGUGAACCCUCUACUGAAUGGAUGUGGACAGCAGCUGAGAUGAAUCUCAAAACUACCCAGUCCUAACUCAUAAGCUUGUCAGCAAUCCAAUAAUCAGAGUACAGACCAAAUCAGCUAUUCUAAGACACAUUCAAGUGAAAAAAAUCCUCACUUUUUAUAUCUCUAUCUUUAUAUCUAUAUUUAUACUAUCUAUAUCUAUAUCAUCUCUAUGUAUAAUCCAUAUCUAUCUAUAUCAUAUCUAUCUACAUCUAUAUCUUAAUCUAUACAUAUUUAUACAUACACCCUCUUUAAGCAUGAGCUGAAUAAACAGGCAAAGAUUAAACAAGGCUAUGCCAUAUAGCAAAUGAAACCAGAGGCAGGGUAUUUGGAGAGAACACACUGCAAAGUGUCCAAGUAAAGGCAGCCAGAUAUGUGGAAAGAUGAACCUAACCACAGCAGAGGGAAGUUAGAGGUUAACAUCUUGGAGGAAGGAGGCACUUAAAGAAACACAAAAGCAUGUUUUAACUCAUGCUAAACUUGUUUGUCAUUUAAAGAAGGAAAGGCAGAGGAAUUGAAUGCAAAUAUGUAAAAAACAACUUUGGGGGAGUUGGAAUUAUGGAAUGAAUCAAAGGUAGUUUUUGACUAUUUUUUCCAUGUGUCUGGCUCUAGAUUUAGUGCCUAUUUCUUUUCUAAUGAGAGAAAAAAGAAAAAAAUGUGACUUUAGGAAAAUCUGGAAAGAGCUGGGGCAGGGAAAAAGUGAUCAGAAUAUAUUAUAGGAAAACUAAUUUUUGAUAAAACUUAAAAUUACUGUUUUUAAAAUGAAGGUAGGAUUUUGGAAAGAAAUUGAGCAAAAGUCUCUAAUUCAAGUCACAUUCUAAUCAGCCUCACUGGGUGAGUAACAAAAUACGAUUCAUUCACAAAACAGUGAGCAGUCACCAUACAUUACCAUAAUACAGACAUGUGACAAUAUGUGGUUAUGUGUCAAACAACAUGUAAAGUCUCUCAUCUCUCAGACACAAUGAAACACCCUCAUGAACUCAAACAAUAUCUCUACAAUACUUCCCUACUGAACCCCUGACAUUCAUUUGAGGUUAAGAAAGAAUAGAGAAGAAAACAGUGAUGCCCACUGGCCCACCCAUUAUCUUACCAUGCUUUUCUCAAUGACAAUAAAGAAUGAAGGAAACCUGAAAAGGACAGGGACAGAGGAAGUAUUAGGGCUGAAUUCCUUGCAUAUAUCAAAACCACCCUAAAAGGAGAAGAUAUAACUCUCAUAGUAGAGAGUAAAGUAUAAGUAAAUCCAUCAGGCACCAAAUAGUACAGUGAGAUGGGAAACUGGGAUUUAAACACCCAUCUGACAAACUCCAUACACACAAAUGUCAAACGGUUUCGCUAAUGCUAUCUUAAAUCAUACACCAUUCUUAACACAAGUUAAGUAGUGGGCUUUUAUUAACAUCACUCCAUAAGUUAAUGGUUUAAAAAUCCAAAGGGAAAUCAUAGAUAAAAUAGAUGAACAAGUAAAAGAUAAGGUGAAAGACAAAAGGCAGAUGUCCCAGAAGAGGCUAUAAUUGCUAAGAGAACAGCAGCUGAAGUCCUGCCAUUACCCUUUGGCAUUCUUAAGGCUGCACUCAUGAGCACUGCUUUAAAGGGUUUGUGCCAUUGUUCAGAUAGUAAAGCGAAUGGUGAACAAUGCAGACAGACGAGGUAUGGACUUUGAAAAUGCUUCCACAACCUAUGUAUGCAAUACAAAAGGAAGGUGAACCAUACCGAGAAAUGUCAUAAAGUACAAUAGCAAGGCCAUUUUAAUCAAACACUAAUUUACACGUUUUGUAGCUCUUUUGUUCCAAACACAAUGUGAGGGACUUUUUGUUAUGAAAAAAAAAAAACUUACAUGAGUUCAAAGUAGAAGCAUGCAAAAAAUGCCUGUAUUAUAAUGCAAACACAUCAAGAUUUUACUCGGAGGUUUUUGAUUUGAUUUAAAAUUGAACCCUUGAUAAGGAUACAAAAUCACACAAUUAAAUUUUGUAUAUAACAAUGAAAAGUAUAAAAGAACAGCUGGAUUUAACAUACAUAUACCGGUCAAUAAUGAAACCGAGUAACUUUCAACAUUAAAGAGAAGAAUUGAUAAUGAUGAGUUACUUGAAUCUCAACAACGUCAUUAUUUUCAAUUUGCAGUAGAUGGGAAUUAACACAGAGAGAUCCACAGUGGAAAAUAUGCAGAGCAUUAAAAACAUCUGAGCAUUUAGUCUCAAAUGUUAUGUCUUCAUCAAACCUCUUCCUUCAAAGCUCAAGAAUUGAUCUACGCGGAAAACGAGGCAGAGAUAUUGUAAGAGACAGGUGAUAGUUGACUCCGAGAAAAUAGAAUCUUCCAUAUACAAAUGCACAUAUGAACCCACAGAUACUGUGGCAGCAUGCACAGGGCCUGCACAGGUUCAAGCCACAUAGAGUCCCAGCACUGAGAGGGAAGAGGUAGAUACCGGGUCCCACCCCUAACCAAGUAUGGACUUUUUAUUAUCUAUUUGCAAAGGAUUCACAGUGCCUCUUAGAUAGUUUUCAGAUGAAAAAUCUAGUACAUCUAUUGAUGGUUAUCAAAUCCUAUCCUGUAAUUAAAUCUGAGAAAAAAAUCCCAAUAUGAUUAAAACUUAACUUUUUAAAGGUGAUACAGCAUUCAUAAGCACGUUGCUAGGGGAAUAUCAUGCUGAGUUGAAAAUAGUUGGCUACUAGGCAAGAUGAAUCACCUUUUGUGUCUGCCCUGUUCAGAUCAAAAUGUCAAAACAAUUAAAGUACAAUUUUGCCUGGCAUCAAUAGCCCAGGCAAUGUGUGAGAAACAGACACAUGAUUUCAGGUGUCCUGUUUGCUUUUAACUAGCAGACAAAUUGAGCAAUGAAACAAAUUUUGCUAAAGAAAACGUGAGACAAGCUGCCAGAUCAUGAGGUCAAGGAAUUCAUCAAGACUAGCUUCCCAUUCAAACUCAAGGGGGAAAAAUUAUCCUACAAGGAUUAUAACAAUUAUCAUACAAGGACAAGAAAAUCUCACGGCAGGAAUUUAAUUAGCUAUAAAUUAAAUAUAACUACAGAAUUUAAUAAAUCUCAAAUAAAAAGUGAGUCACAUUGAUCUUACAGGAAUAUCAAGUGAAUACUUUGUGUAUUGUAUAUGUGUUUAUGUGUGCAGCAGGGACAUAAACUUUCAACUUUCAUCUAUCACAAGUGACUUCUCCUAUUUAUUAUAUACGAUCCUUAAUUUAUUACAUACAGUGUAAAAACACAUAAUUGUAACAUUUUUAGCUGUAGGAAGCCCUAAUUUUUUUUCUUAAGUUAUGGGCCAUGCUUUAGAAGAUAAAACAAAACAAAAUCUAAAAACACAAAGAACAAAGAACAGAUACAAUCCACAUUGUGUAUAGACCUAGAUUAUACUCUGGAUCUGCGUCUUUCGCUACUAAUCUUUUCUAUUAGCUGCACCACAUUCUCAAGAGAUGAACUUCUGAAAACUGUCAGUAGCAACACUGUCAGUAGAAAUAAUGACAAGCUCCUCUUGCAGUAUCAUUUCCUAUUUAAUUACUUUAUACAGAUCCUGCUUUCUAGGACUGAAAAAAAAAAGUGAAGCCUUGAUAGGACUUUCUAUUAAGGCGUAUUUGGACUUCACUGGUAUUUAACUAUAAUGUUCAUUUAGAAUAAUCAGCUCUUAAAUUCAUGAUAGAGAAUUUUAUUUGAACACAAAUAUGUAUGAAUUACACUUUUUGCUCAAUGUAGCCAGAGUUCUAUUCAUGACAUACAUUUUCCUAUGUACCAAAUAAUACUGUCCCAUUAAAAUUAAGGAUACAGACAGUCAAAAAAGAGUACCUAGAUCCAUUCUUUUCUGUAAAAUUUUUAGCAAAUUAUUUCCUUUUUGGAAACAAAAAUAUGAUAUAAUUACAUCAUUUUCCACCUUUCUUUGCCUCCCUUCAACUCUUCUGAAAUAUCCUCCCUUGCUCACUCACUCUCAGAUUGAUAUUCUCUAAUUUCUUUGUUGUUACAUACAUAGAUCUGCAUCAUAUAUAUAUAUGUAUAUAUAUAUAUAUAUAUAUACAUAUAUAUAUAUAUAUAUAUGAGAGGUCAAACCUACUCCAUCUUGGCACUGGCCUCCAUCUUAAAAAGAACUUGAGAACUUGACCUGCAACUGAACCCAAGCUGCACCCAAGUACCAGGAAGGACCCCACAGCUUGUCCUUGACCUAUACCCUAGAUUUACUCCCUUGAUACUUCCUAUCAACAGUUAAUCAAAGAGUACUAUGAUUGUUUCAUAUGUACUUUCAGACUGCGUGUAUUGUUCAUGGUCUUGCUUAGGAGCACCCACCUGUCAGCUUACAACAAUUCUUCAAUUAGUUGUUUGCAGAAUAGAUACCCCAUCACUUGGUCCCAUUUUUUAUAAAACCUUGUCUGGAUGAGAGUUUGGGGCUGCUUCACCAAACCGUCCUGCAUGGCCCUGGUGAGUAAGCCCAAGCUCCAACUUAGUAAUAAAGACCCUCGUGUGAGUACAUCGGAAUAGUGUCCUUGGUCUUUUGGGGUUCACAAAUGCUUCCUGGCACUACACAUACAUGUGUAUAUGUCUAUAUAAUGUUACUUGUAUGUAUAUGAUAUCAGGACUGACCACUUACCUGCACUUGACCUGCAACUGAGAAGACCAUUUACUGCAUUCUCACCAUCCUUAAUUGCUUGUAGCUUUCGUCUAGGAUUGAAGCCCCAUGCAAUUUCCCCCUGAAAGUUCUUAAUUCACCUUAUACAUAUAUAAGUACAUGUAUAUACUUAUAUAUACAUACAUAACAUAUAUAGUUUCUUCAUUUGUGAAAAUAAUAAAAGUUAUCUGACAAUACUUUGGUUGAUAUUAAAUAAAUUAUUGCAUUCUAAGUGAAAGAAAAUUCUGGCCCUUAGUAAAUACUCAAAAUUAUUAUAGCUAUUGUUACCAAUUUUCAGUCAGGUAGUAUAUUAACAUUGAUGCUAUUAAACAACAUAAUAGAAAGAGUGUUCACUAACAUUUGCAAGGGUCAGAUAAUUAGACGUUUUCAGUUCUAGUGUGGCACACGUGAGCAGAGAAAAGAAAUGGGUAGAUAUGGUUGGAUCCCAAAAAAGCUUUAUUUAUAAAACCAUAUGAUGGGUUGGAUUUGGUCUGGGACAGUUGCAGCCCCUUGAUACAGAGUGAUCUCCAUAUUCUUCAGGCAAUCAGAGUAGAUAAGAAGAGAGCAAAGCUACUCAGCUCACCACAGUCAUAUAUAGAACCAGCUCAAACUUCUACCAACCUCCCUAGAGAAGAGGUUUAUAAUAGAUCCCACUCUGGUCCACUAACUGCAGUCUCUUUCCCCUUCCCUCCCUACAACACACAAUCAGUGGAAAAUUAGUGAAUUCUUGAAUCUUAUGAGUACUUUGCUGUUCUUGACACAAAUUGGUCAUUUUCACGUUAAUUUUUAAGAGCUUCAAAAUAUUUAGUGCUUGGCAUGUGGCAUUUUAAUUCCACUGGCAUGUUCCUGUAUACCCUUCUUUUUCUAGCAGGAAAAAUAAUAUGAAGGCAGACAUAAUCUCAUUUACACAGAGAUUACUACAUCCCCUGCCUAAGACUUUAUACCAUAUCCUAUUUUAUCCUAAGGAUUCAAAAAAUAAUUGGCAUGAACAAAGAAAAAUAUUCUGUAACAAUACUCUUUCCAACUACAGCCAUUCUCCCAAUCUUGAUAGAGAAAGCCAAAAGUAUCAGAGCUAGGAGUGUAGUUAAGGAGCAGAGCAUGGACCAAGGCUCUAAAUUCCUGAUAACUUGAUAAAAGGGGAAGGAGUACUAUGGAACUGAACAGGCUUCAUAAGAAGCAAUAUAAUAAUCAAUAAAUAAUUUUAAAGAUGUUCAACAUCAUUAGCCAUCAGAUAAACACAAUUAAAACUACUUUUCAUCUCACUCCUGUCAAAGUUAUUAUUAUCAAGGAAAAAACAACAAAACAAAUGCUGGCAGGACUGUGGGAAAGGGGAUAUCCCAAUACAGUGUUGGUGAGAAUGUGAACUAGGAAAGUACUAUGGGAACCAACCUAUGUGUUUCUCCAAAGAAAGUAUACAUAUACAUAUAAUGCAUACCCAGUUAUGCAGUUCCUGGCCCCUAUGAUAGAAUUCUAUGUCCUAUUAUAGAUUACUAGUCACAGUAGCUUGGGAAUGAAACCAGCUUAGAUGUCCAUCAACUGACAAAUGCUGAAAAUGUAGUACAUAGAAACAAUAUAACUCUAUUCAUCACUAAAAGGGAAAAAAAGGAUGGAGCUAAAAAAAAUAUACUGAAUAACCCAGCACAGAAAAACAGAUAUCAUAGUCUCUCUUGCGUAUCUACCCUAGCUUUGAACCUUAUAUUUCUGUGUUUGGUUGGGAUAUUCGUAUAGACCAGGAAUUAAGGAAGGCAUAAUGAGAUGGAUGGACUGCAUCUUCAUGGGCAGGGAAAAAUGCCACUUGUCAUAUGGAAGUCUGGAUAGAAAGGAAAUAUAAGACAUAAAAAGGCUUAAACAGAGAUGGCAGGAAGCUAGCUGGGGGUGAAGGGAAGAUUAACCAAAAUUAAAGAUUCAUUAGAAAGCUACACAGAGACCAAACCUUUAUACAGUAACUAAAAUAUACAAUUUUAAAAGUUUGUUAGUACUGCAUGGUGAAUAAUGCUGUGCCCAGGCAUCAUGGAUUUUUAAAUAAAAAUGAUUGUCUAUGAGUUGCGUGCCAAAGGGCUCCCCAUAGACCCACCCUACCCCCACCCUGGAGAAUACGUUGCCUCUUCCCUUGGUUGCCUGCCAGAACAAUUGAUAACACCCUGUUGCUGAGACACCACUUUGGUUAGCGGACACAGAAAUCAAUGUGGAACUGAGCUUGAAGCUUUCUUCCUAUGAGCUAUUGCUCAUGGGGACUAAAGGUGUUUAUGUGGCCUGCUCCAGAGGAAAAGAGAGUUAGUAACAUUGGACCAGCUGUGGACUCUAAGUGCUAUUAAUAGUGCAGCGAAGACAUGGUUGUUUGGAAGAUAACAAAUCAUUUUCUGAUUUGAGUCCCAUUCCAUGAAAAGAAACAUACAUGCCUGGUCAAACAGUAGUUCGGAGGCAUAAUCUACUGUUGUUUGGUAAACAGAUAUACAGUGACUCUGUCUUCUAAUAUUUAUGGUCACAGUCCCAGAAAUGUCUGUGUAAGUGCUGCUCCAUGCAUUACGCACUGUCUUUGUUAAUGGUACUGGUGGGGUCCCGGGGCACGGAGAGUGGGGACAGGCAGUGGUUAACUGGUCAAAAUCCUGAGAAUAAGUGACAGAAUGUUUAUAUCAUACACUCCAAGGCCCAGGGCACAUCAAAAAGGGGCAAAAAAUUUUGCCAAAAGAAAAGAGUGAAUACAAUAGAAACAGUGAGUAUGUGCAGUAGAGAGGGUUACAUUGUUUUGAAUGAAGAGAGAACAUGUAACAAUGUCCCACUGCUCUGCCCACCUUUGAAACUCUGUAGCAUAUAAAUUACAACCAACUGCCUGCUUGACAUAACUUGAAUAUUCUAAUGCAUGAAUGUCCUAAUCCUAAAAGCACAUCAGUGUCCUACCAUACUCCCCAGCUCAGUAAACGAAAAUUCUGCCUAUUAUGCUAAUUCGUGUCCCUGCUAUAAAUCACUGCUUUGGACAACACAGUUGCCCCCAACCCAGUAAUCAGAGUGAUGUUUUGAAAAAGAUGUAUCAUCAUUUCAUUCCCUUUCUGUAAAAAUACUCCAAAGGCCUUCCACAUUACUUUAAGAGAUAUUGCAAUAUCUUUUAAAUUAUAACGCCAUACUUUCUAGCCCCUAUGAGAAAGUUAGAAGCCAUACCCACUACACUCUCUUCAAUUCCACUCUGGCCACACAAACUUCUUUCUUUAUCCUGAACAAAACAACAGACAAGGCCUCUGUAGACUUGCUAUUCUGUGCCUAGAGCACUCAGGACCCAGACAGCCUUCGGUUCACUCCCUCACCUGUUUAAGUUUGUUGAAAUAUGUUACUUUCUCUUGAAGAUUUCCUUUAUUAGCCGUUUUAAAUUGCUUAACACACAAACUUAUUUUUCUUAUAGUAUAUGCUUCCUACUAGAAGGUAUAAUCCAAGAAACUAAGAAAGUCUGCUCUACUCUAAUGCCUAGGGCAGUGUUUGGUAGGUACUCAGCAAUAUCUGUUAAUUACAUGUAUAAGCAAGAAUCAAGCUUUUCAGAUGUCCUAGUAAUGCUUUAUGUAACUGAUAAAUUAUAUAAUUCCCUCGCACUGGAAUUCUAAGAAAAACUCUGGAAUACUCUAUGUGGUAUCAGACUGGAUUAGAUAAAGCAAUUGUAUUCCUGAGAAAUUCUGAGGUCAGAGGUAAUUGCUGAUUGUAAAAGUGGGAGGGGUCCCUAAAUAUCCCAUUUCCAUGAAGAAUUUCUGAGGGGUAAAAAAGAAACGAGGAAACCUCUAAUUAACUAGCAGUUUAAAGUCCAACCUUUCCUUCAAUCUCUUUUCUUUUACUACCACUGGGGAUGGGUUUGUCAUCCUGACACUCAGGCGGUUCCUUUCAGCACAAAGAGCACCCAGAGGGCAGGGACAGAAUUUUGCAUCCUUUUCCCAUCCCUGGUUAGCACAGACUCUCGCUCCUGGCUGACUGGAGUUAACAUGCGAGUGUCUCGCUGCGAGAGAAACAGUUUCCUAAGUUUCUGAGCCGCACCGCUGGACUAACAUCUACCCAGUAACUUAGUUCUGGGCUGAGUGCCCUUAGCGAUGCGGGGCCCUAACUAGUGCGAGACGGCCGAGCGGUGGGGAUGCUUCAGACCCGACGGCCACUCGGGGAAAGCACAGCGACAUAGCGCGGGGAGCGCGAGGGUGGCCGGGAAGCCCGGUCCGUCGGGCUUCUGCUGCUGGUGUCCCCACACCAGGUCGCCCGGGACUCGCAAGCGCAGAGGCCGCAGAUCAGCGGGUGCGCACCCGGCCUCGCCCCGCCGCCCGGCGGGCUCCCGCGGAACGGGGACCGGGACUCGCGUUACCUGAGCGGCGCCGCGGGUCUGCGGUACGGCGGCCGGCGGGGCCCGUUUUCGGCAGCCGUAAAGCGCGGGCGAGAGGCGACCCCCACCCCGGCGAGCACCUCGAGCCAAGCGUCACCUCCUCGCGGGUGUCAGCCAGGGCCAGCGACGGGCCGGCGGCUGAGUCACAGGAGCCCCGCUGCCAAGGCGGACCGAGGGCCGCGGGCGGGUGAAGCGAGCGGCCCGAGCGCAGGAGGAGGGCUCUCGGGGAUGCCGCAGCGCCGGACACUUGGCCCCAAGGCGACCCCCAAAAGAUAGGGGCUCUGUGCUAUUUCAGCUCCUGUUUAUUGUUUGCACUCCACGAAACGUUUAAAAGAUAAAAAGAACACGGUUGUCUAGGCCAGAUAUGCAAGUUCAAAUCUGUGCCUUGGUUUCUCAAACAGUUCUGCUUUGUUUGUUUGUUUGUUUGUUUGUUUUUGUUUUUUAAUAGAGGAAACAUAGCUGGGACGUGGUAAGAUGGCCCAGACCAGGGUCCUGGGUACUAGCCUUGCAGAAACUGGAAUGAAUGUCCCUGUACUCUGGAGAGUAGGUAGCGGCAGAAGGAUCUGAAGGUUGAAGUCAUUCAUGGGUCACGUAGGGAAUCAGAAACAGUCUGGUCUUCGUAAAAUCCGCUUCAAAAUAGCCAGAGAAAAUAAAGACUUGGCUUAACAAGGGCCAGUUUUAAAAGGAAGUUAUAUAAGUGAAGACGUUAUUAUUUUGUUCAAAUAUGGAAAAUUAAAUAAAAGUCACAGUGUAAGGAAAGAAUGAGGUCACUAAGAGAAGGAAUUCAAUUAGAGAGGGAAAGAAGAACUGAGAAAGGAAAGACUAAAGGAAACCUGUGGACCACAAAGAGAAGGGUGCACAAAGCCGAGCGAUGAGUUUACUUGCUAUUUGGAUACUUCGGACAGACUCCUUCCAGUGAGACAGAUUGAUUAAAUAUGUAAACAGAUAAACAACUGCCUGCAAACGAGCCCCACGUGAAGAGUCUUUGCUCCAGUGAAUGUGAUCUGGCAACUCUGCAAAAUGAGGAUAUUCUUUUGCAUCUUGAGAGGUUGAGUCAUCAAACCCACAGCAAAAAUUAGUGGGCUGGAUUCCUGAAAGGCACGACAGAUGGGGCAUUCUCGUUGCUUUUAAUGACGGUGUGAUGUUCCCUUCAGUGCUUCUGUCAAUUUUAGAAGAAAGGAACACACACGCAAAUUUGAGAUGUGAAUAUGGCAACAAAACCUAAGCCAGUUACUUAAUACUGGAGUAUCCACCCAGCCUGAGCUGCCAGUAAGGACGCCAAAAGAAUCAAGUCUCCAGCUUUCGGUUUUUCUUUCUUCUUUGUUUCUGUUUCCACUGCACUCCAUCUUAUCUACUUACAUUUUUUUCUUCCCUGUUACAGUGAAACUGUUUAAGGGAAAGGUGGUUUUAAUUAAUAUGAUGGAAUGGAAAGAAUUUUAGCUGGGCCUCUCUAAGUGGGGUGGAACUUUCUGAAGGAAAGGAUUUUUCUAAAGUUUUAAUGAGUGAGUCGCCAGAUACAACAUCAGAAAAGAUUUGUUUUCAAACAAGGGAACAGUAAUAACACUGGAGAUUGAAACAAAAUCGGAUAGAGUGGAAAUCACCCUAAUUACUUGAAGAAUUAAACACUAGAAGUAUUUUCUGAGAGGGGAAAUGCAAGCCUUUUUCCAGGCUUUCCCGCUGAAGGAAGGAUAAGAAAGGACAGAUUACACCUAUGAUGCUCUAUUUCUCUCACUGGUCUCCUGCAGUGUAAGAGACACAGAGCUGUUUUCUUUUUUUUCAAGAACCCCAUGCUUUUUUUCAGUUUUGCUAACCCUUCAAGCUUAUUAAGCUUUUAUUAGUGUGAAACAAGGAGAUAAAAAAAAUCUCAAGAGUGGGAAGCUCUUAACACUUACAAUAUCUGAAGAGUUCUCCGAUCUGAAACUAAGACUGAGAAGCGUUCCUGAGGGGACUUUGGAUGUAGAAUAAGUACCUGUUACUUCCUUUCAACAAAUAAGCAAGCACAUACACUAAAGCUAAGGACAAAAUCAUUUUAUUAGGGCAGAUUGCCAUACCUGAAAACCCUUGGCCAGGGAAGAAAUUUCUCCUCUUCAUAGGUGAAUAAAAUUCCUGAUUUUGUACGAAGUCUGGAGAACUUUCUGUUUAGACACCAGUAGACUACAAAAUGAACCUUGACUCACAGGUAUAAGACCCUGUUGUAAUUUUAUUCAAAAGAGCAUUUUUGACUGAUAGUUGCUGGUUUUAGAACUCUGAAACCAAAUUUUAACUAACGUCAAAGAUUUAAUGUACAGCCAUGAGGACCAGAGUUCAAAUCCCAAAACCCACAUAAAGUUGGACAUUUUAACAUGUGCCAGCAAUCCCAGUGCCAUGUAAGAGAAAUGACAGUCCCCAGAUUAGAGGAGAAUCCCCCGAAGCUCACAGGCCGUGGAGGAUUCUAAGCCCAGAAAGCAAGGUUUUGGCAGGCAGGCCCUUCUCCCUGUUUCCUCUGCCUUGCUACAAAACCUUAAAUUAUAUUCCUAAAGCUAGCCAAGUUCUAGCCUUUUAUUCAGCCACUGAGGCUGACUACCAAGGUCCAGCUAUCAAAAGCUCCCUUUGGCUCAUCUAAUUAAUGUUCCCAAAUAAAAUUAAACACCUCGUCCUAACAUAUCCUAAUAUGGGGUUCCCCUCAUACCUUUAUAAACUGCCAUUUUCCUAUAUGCCAUGUUUUUUUAUCCUGAUGCAAUCCUUUGCUGUCCCCUCCCCCUCCAGGAAAAAUACCCUUUUUUCUUUCUCCCUUGUUUCCUUUCUCUUCUUCUCAUUUUCUGUCUCCCAUCUUUGUCUCUGGUUCUCUGCCCUCUGUCCCUCUGGGGCAAAUAAAUCUUUGUGCUGAGAACAUGGUCUUGGAGAUUAUGAAACCUAUAUUUGUCUUUUCCCACAGUGGUGACUAGAAACUCUGUCUAAAACAUUGGGGAAGGCAAGAACCUUUACUCACCUAAAAUUCCUCUAUCAGCUCACGUGUUGUCUCACAAAAGCAUCCCCAUUCACAUACGUGCACUGACCAAACACAUAUACCUCAUAGGUAUGAGAUCCUGCUGUAAUUUUAGCAACCACAUACAUACACCAUACAAAGUUAAAACAAGAAAAACAAAAAGUGUUCAACUUCGAUAGAGAUGGAAUGUCUCUGUUCAACUAUAAUUAUAUAGGAUGGUAAAGUUUAUUAUAACUGAAUUCAACCUUGCAAUGCUGAUGUGGUCGAUUUUCAUCAUUUUCUACAACACUAUACAAGAAAAAAUUAGUUCUGUGAACUUCAAAAGUCUUGGUUAUCUUCCUAAUUUGAAUGGUCAGUGCAGAUUCCCUUCAUAGGUCAAACAUUUUGUUACAAUGUUCCCAAUUGCUUAGUCAUCACAGAGGCAAUAGUUAAAUAUCAAAGCAGCCUCAGCAAUUGGAAGUUUCUGUAAACUAAUUUUAGAAAUGUUGGUAAAACUCUUCGCCAGAGCUCAAAUGUGGUUGUCAAACCAAAAGUUCGCCUAACUCAGAGUGUCGUGGUCUGAAAUUUCUGGGUUGGCAAGGGACAGCAGUCCUUUUUCAUGUUUAUGUAUGGAUGCUUUGGCUGUGCAUAAAUCUGUGUAUCAGAUGUAUUUAUGGUGCCUGCAGAACUUAGAAGAUGGCAUUAGAUCUACUGAACCCGACCUUACGAGUGGCUGCCAUGUGGGUGCUGAAAUUUGAACCUGGGGCCUAUUGGAGGUCAGUGAAUGCCAACCUCUGAGCCCCAGGAAAACAGUCUUGAAGAUUCUGGUUGUUAUUCUCUAUCUCUACAACUGCAUGCAUCAUAUAAACUAAAAGGCCAUAUACCAUAAACAAUUCUUUUGCCUUUUCCCAACCCCAGGAAUAAUUAACAUUCUGUCUUCUGUUUCUACAAUUUUUAAUUACUCAAUUUCACAAAUUAGUUAUAUGUUGUUAACAAUUUCAUUGUACUUAGUAUAAGGAGCUCAAAGUUUUAUCUGUGUUACAACUUUGUCAGAAUUCCUUUCAUUUUGCAACUGAAUAGCAUUCUGUUAUACAUAUUUAACCACACUUGGCUUAUCUGUUUGUCCUUCCGUGGAAACUUGUCUUGUGUAUUUAAGCUUUUGUGCACACUAUAGUUAUGAAUAUCAAUAUACAAAUAUCUCUUGAAGAUUCUUUCAGCCAUUCUUAUAAUUGAAUUGAACUAAUGAAAGAUGACAGGGUGCUUCUCCAAUUCAUACUUGAGUGGUCAGAAGUCCAGGUCAUCGUGUCCUUUGAAGUCAGAGGAAAUCAUAUGGGACUGAGCUCUGAACCGGGGAACUUGACAAUUCUGUAAAAUGUUACAGCUGUAUCAACUCAUGAGACGGACUGCUGCUGGUACUGCAAAUCCUGGUGUUUGAAACUGACAUCUGUGAAUGGUGUAGUCAGAUCUCUCUUUAGUUUUUUGAGGAACAAUGCUGAUUUCAACCACAGUAGACCACUUGAUAGUUCUGUCAGCCCUGAGUAAGAUUUUCUGCUUCCCCACAUACUCACUGCCUUUUAUCAUUGGCUUUUAUGAGAAUUGCUGUGCGUAUCAGAGUUUUAUAAUGGUGUAAGUGUGUUUUAGGGUAGAAUAACAACUACAAACCAUGAUAAAAACAGCUUGUUCCUUUUUUCCUAUAGGUUAUUUUAUGUAUGCAUAUUUUAAAUGUUAUCCCUUCCCAGUUUCCUUCCAUCAACCCAGACACCGCCACCUCCACUCUGCCUCUAUAAGGGUUCUCCACUUCAUGCUCACUCACACCUGUCUCAGUGCCCUAGCAUUCCUCUUUCCUGGAUCAGCGAGCCUCCAGAGGACCAAGGGGCUCCCCACACAGUGAUGCCCAAUAAGGCAUCUAUUAGCUACAUAUCCAGCUAGAGCCAUUGGUCCCCCAAUGUACCUUCUUUGGUUGGUGGUUUAGUUCCACGGAGCUUUGGGAAUUCUUGUUGGUUGAAAUUGUUGUUCUUCUUAUAGGCUGGCAAACCCCUUCAGCUCCUUCAGUCCUUGCCACUAACUUCUCCACUGGGGUCCCUGCACUCAGAUGUUUUGCUGCCUACAUUCACAUCUGUCUUGAUCAGCUCAGGGGACAACUAUACCAGGCUCCUGAUGGGGGAGAAGUACAGAGGGUCAGAAUUUAAUGGAGGUGUAUAGCAGUGAGUGAGGGGGAAAGUGGAUAGCCACUAGAAUGUCACAGAUGCCCGGGACCCAAGAGGUUCCCAGGACCCAACAGGGAGGACAUUAGCUGAAAUACUCAACAAAAGGGAGAGAGAACCUAUAGAGACCAUAUCCAGUGGAUUGGCACUUGGUCAGCAAGUGCUUCUUGGCAUCAGCAAUAGCAUCUGGGUUUGGCAUCUGCAGAUGGGACAGAUCGCUAGGUGGGGCAGUCUCUGGAUGACCUUUCCUUCAGUCUCUGAUCUAUUCUUUGUUCCUACAUUUCCUUUUGACAGCAGGAAUUCUGGAUUAUUAUUUUUGAGUUGAGUGGGUGACCCCAUUCCUCAACAGGGUGCCAUGUCUAUCGUUUAGAUAUGGUCUCUUCAGGUUCUAACUCCACUUUGUUGAGUAUUUUGGAUAAUGUCCUUUGUAUUGGGUCCUAGAAACGUCUUGGGUCCCUGGCAUCUGUUACUUUCUAGUGACUACUCCCAAUUUCUCCUACACUACUCUUACACACUUGCUUUCAAAUUCCGGACUCUCUGUACUUCUCAUCCAUCUCCUCCCAUAUCAAAACCCGCUCCCUUUUUCCCUCCCACUCUUUUCUCACUCUCCCAGAGCCCUCUCUCUUUCUAUUUCCUGAGAUUAUUUUCUUCCCUCUUCUGAGUAGGACCGUAGCAUCCACACUUUGGUUGGUUUUCUUUCUUCUUGGGUUUCAUAAGGUCUGUAAGUUGUAUCUUGGAUAUUCUGAGCUUCUUUGUGCCUAAUAUUCACUAAUAUUCAGUGAGUGCAUGCCAUGUGCGUUCUUUCGUGACUGAGUUAUCUCACUCAGGAUGAUAUUUUCUAGUUCCAUCCAUUUGCCUAAGAAUUUAACGAAGUCAUUGUUUUAAUAGCUGAGUAGUAGGGGUUGGGGAUUUAGCUCAGCGGUAGAGCACUUGCCUAGCAAGCGCAAGGCCCUGGGUUCGGUCCCCAGCUCCAAAAAAAAAAAAAAAAAAGCUGAGUAGUACUCCAUUGUGCAGAUGUACCACAUUUUCUGUAUCUAUUCCUCUGAUGAAGAGCAUCUGGGUUCUUUCCAGCAUCUGGUUAUUAAAAAUGAGGCUGCUAUAAAUAUAGUGGAGCAUGUGACCUUGUUACAUGUUAGAGCAUCUUUUUGGAUAUAUGCCCAGAAAUGGUAUAGCUGGGUCCACAGAACUAUAUCUAAUAUUCUGAGGAACCACCAGACUGAUUUCCCAGCUUGCAAUCCCACGAGAAGUGGAUCUGCGGUCACCUGAGUUUUUGAACUUAGCCAUUCUGACUGGUGUGAGGUGGAAUCUCAGUGUCAGUUUGAUUUGCAUUUCCCUGAUGACUAAGGAUAUUGUACAUUUCUUUAAGUGCUUCUCAGCCAUUUGAGAUUCCUGAAUUGAGAAUUUUCUGUUUCGUUCUGUACCAGAUUUUAAAUUGGGUUUUUUUGGUUCUCUGAAGUCUAACUUCGUGAGUUCUUUCUAGAUAUUGGAUAUUAAUCCUCUAUCAGGUGUAAGGUUAUUAAAGAUCUUUUCCCAAUAUGUUCAUUGCCAUUUUGUCCUACUGGUAGUGUCCAUUGCCCUACAGAAGCUUUUUGAUUUAAUGAGGUUCCAUUUGUCAAUUGUUGAUCUUAGAGCAUAAACCAUUCAUUGGUGUUCUCCUCAGCAAGUUUUUCACUGUGCCAAUGUAUUUGAGGUUCUUUCCCACUUUCUCUUCUACUACAUUCAUAUUAUUUGGUUUUAUGUGGUGAUCCUUGACCGAUUUGGACUUGAGUUUCAUAUAAGGAGAUAAGAAAACAUCAAUUUGCUUUCUUCAACAUGCUGACCAACAGUUGAAACAGAACCGUUUGUUGAAAAUUCUGUCUUUUUUCCACUGGAUGGUUUUGGCUCCAUUAUCAAAGAAAUAGUGAAGAAAGCUGUCUUCAAUUCUAUUCAAUUGAUCUAUCUGUCUGUCUCUGUACCAAUACAAUGCAGAUUUUAUCACUGUCAUUCAGUAGUAUAGCUUGAGGUCAGGGAUGGUGAUUCCCCAGAAGUUCUUUUACUGUUGAGAAUAGUUUUUGUUAUCCUGGGAUUUUUGUUAUUCCAUAGAAAUUGAAAAAUUUCUCUUUCUAUCUGUGUGAAUAAUUGAGUUGGAAUUUUGAUGGGGAUUGCAUUGAAUCUAAGGAUUCCUUUUGUUAAGAUGACCAUUUUUACUAUGUUAAUCCUGCUGAUCCAUGAGCCUGAGAGAUCUUUCCAUCUUGUGAGGUCUUCUAUAAUUUCUUCCUUUAGAGACUUGAAAUUUUUGUCCUGAAGAUUUUUCACUUGCUUGGUUAGAGUCACACUAAGAUAUUUUAUAUUAUUUGUUACUAUUGUAAAGGGUGUCAUUUCCAUCAUUUCUUUCUCAGCCUGUUUGUCCUUUGAGUAGAGGAAAGCUACUGAUAUGUUUGAGUUAAUUUGUAUCCAACCACUUUGCUGAGGUUGUUUCUUAGCUGUAAGUGUUCUCUUUUGGAGUUUUUUGAUCACUUCUGAGUACUGUUUUAUCAUCUGCAAAUAGGGAUAUCUUGACUUCCUCCUUUCCAAUUUGUAUCCCUUUGAUCUCCUUUUGUUGUCUAAUUGCUGUGGCUAGAACUUCAAGUACUACAUUGAAAUGAUAGGGGGAGAGUGGGCAGCCUGAUCAACUUGCUUUUAGUGGGAUUGCUUCAAGUUUCUCUCCAUUUAGUUUGAUGUUGGCUAUUGGCUUGUUGUAUAUUGCUUUUAUUAUAUUUAGGUAUGGACCUUGAAUUCCUGAUCUCUCCAGUACUGUGAGUAAGAAGGGAUGUUGUAUUUUGUCAAAGGCUUUUGUGGCAUCUAAUAAGAUUAUCAUGUGGAUUUUUUCUUUGAGUUUGUUUAUAUAAUGGAUUACACUGAUGGAUUUCCAUAUAUUGAACCAUCCCUGCAUCCCUGGAAUGAAGCCUACUUGAUCAUGUUGAAUGAUCAUUUUGAUAAGUUCUUGGACUCGGUGUGUAAGAAUUUUAUUGAGUAUUUUUGCAUCGAUAUUCAUAAGGGCAAUUGGUUGAAGUUCUCUUUCUCUAUUGGGUCUUUGUGUGGUUUUAGUGUCAGCAAAGGUGUGGUUUUAUAGAAUGAAUUAAAUAGUGUUCCUUCUGUUUCCAUUUCAUGAAAUAAUUUGCGAAGUAUUGUUACUAAGUAUUUUUUGAAGGUCUGAUAGAAUUCUGCACUAAGCCCAUCUGGUCCUGGGCAUUUUUGGUUGGGAGACUUUUAAUAACUGCUUCUCUUUCUUUAGGAGUUAUGGGACUAUGUAAAUAGUUUCUCUGAUCUUGAUAUAGCUUUGGUACCUGUUCUCUGUCUAGAAAAUCAUCCAUUUCAUCCAGAUUUUCCAGUUUUGUUGAGUGUAGGCUUUUGUAGUAAGAUGUGAUAAUUUUUUGAAUUUACUCUUGUUCUGUCUUUUUGUCCCACUUUUCAAUUCAGAUUUGUUAAUUUGGAUACUGUUUCUGUGCCCUCUGGUGUCUAAUUGUUAUCUAUCUUGUUGAUUUUCUCAAAGAACCAAUUCCUGGUUUUGGUGAUUCUUCGUAUUCUUUGUUUCUACUUGAUUGAUUUCAGCCCUGAAUUUCCUGCAGUCUACUCCUCUUGGGUUUAUUUACUUCUUUUUGUUCUAGCAGAUGUGAUGUUAAGCUGCUAGUCGUAUACUCUUUCCAAUUCCUUUACGAAGCACUCAGGGCUAUGAGUUUAUCUCUUAGCACUGCUUUCAAUGUGUCCUGUAAGUUUGGGUAUGUUGUGCUUUCAUUGUCAUUAAAUUUCGGAAAUUCUUUAAUUUCUUCCCUGACCAAGUUAUCAUUGAGUAGAUAGGUGUUCAGCUUUCAUAUGAAUGUCAGCUUUCUAUACUUUCUUUAUUGUUGAAGACCAGCCUUAUUUCAUACUAUUCUGAUAGGAUGUAUGGGAUAAUUUCCAUCUUCUUGUAUUGGUUGAGGCUUGUUUUGUGUCUGAUUAUAUGGUCAAUUUUGGAGAAGAUAAUGUGAGGUCCUGAGAAAAUUAUAUACUUUUGUUUUAGGGUGAAAUGCUCUUUAGAUAUCUGUUAAGUCCAUUUGGUUUAUAACUCUGUUACUUUCAUUGUGUCUCUGUUUAUUUUCUGUUCCCAUGAUCUGUCCAUUGAUGAGAGUGGGGUGUAAAAGUCUUAAACUAUUAUUGCAUGAGGUUGAAUAUGUACUUUGAGCUUCAGUAAUGUUUCUUUUACAAAUGUGAGUGCCCUUGCAUUUGGGGCAUAAUGUCUGUCUUUGUCACUUAGGUAUGUUUCCUGUAUUCAGCAGAGUGCUGGGUCUGAGUCCAGUCUGUUAGUCUAUGCCUUUUUAUUGGGGAAUUGAGUCUAUCGAUAUUGAGAGAUAUCAAGGACCAAUGAUUGUUGUUUUCUUUUCUUUUUGUUGUUGGAAGUGGAAUUAUGCUUGUAUGGUUCUCUUCUUUUGGGUUUGUUGUGUGAAGAUGACUUUCUUGCUUUUUCUUUGAUAUAGUUUCCUUCCUUGUGUUGGAAUUUUCUUUCUAUUAUCCUCUGUAGAGCUACAUUGGUGGAAAGAUAUUGUUUAAAUUUGUUUUUUUUUCAUGGAAUAUCUUGCUUUUUCUCUAUGGUAAUUGAGAGUUUUGCUGGGUAUAGUAGUCUGGACUGGCUUUUUUGUUCUUUUAGGGUCUGUAUAGCAACUACUCAAGAUCUUCUGACUUUUAGAGUCUCUGUUGAGAUGUCUGGUAUAAUUCUGAUUGAUCUCCCCUUAUAUGUUACUUGACCUUUCUCCACAUCUCUUUCAAUAUUCUUUAUCUGUGCAUUGGUAUUUUAAUUAUUAUAUGACAGGAGGUAUUUCUUUUCUGGUCCCAUCUGUUUGGUGUUCUGUAGGUUUUUUGUAUGUUUAUGGGCAUUUUUUUGGUUAUGGAAGUUUUCUUCUAUAAUUUUGUUGAAGAUGUUUGGUGGUCCUUUGAGUUGGGAAUCCUGACUUUCUUCUAUACCUAUUAUUCUCAGGUUUGGUCUUUCGAUUGUGUCCUGGAUUUCUUGAAUGUUUUGAGAUAGGAGCUUUUUGCUUGUUGUAUUUUCCUUGACUAUGUGUCAGUGACUUCUAUGGUAUCUUCUACCACUGAGAUUGUCUCUUCUAUCCCUUGUAAUCUCUUGGUAAUGCUUGCAUUUGUGUCUCCUGAUCUCUUUGCUAGAUUUUCCAUCUCCAGUGUUGUCUUCCUUUGUGUUUUCUUUAAUGUUUCAAUUUCCAUUUUUAGAUCCCAGAUGUUUUUAUUCAGUUCCUUCAUCUGUUUGAUUACGUUCUCCUGUAUUUCUUAAAGAGAUUUAUGUGUUUCUUCUUUAAGGGCUUCUACUUGUUUACCUGUGCUCUUCUGUACUUCUUUAAUGGAGUAGUUUACAUUCUUAUGUCCUCCCUCAUAUUCAUGAGAUAGAAUUUUAGAGUUGAGUCUUGCUUUGCAAGUUUGAUGGGGUAUCCAGGGAUUGAUGGGGUGGUAGAACUGGCUUCUCAUGAUGCCAAGUAGCCUUUAUUUCUGUAACUUAUGGUCUUGUGAUUUUCUCUUGCCAUCUGGCUAUUUCUAAUGCUAACUGACCUUGCUAUCUCUUACUGGGGCCUGUUCCUCCUGUGAGCUUGGUUGUGUCAGAACUCCUGGAAGUCCAGUUGUCUCUGUGAUCCCGUGAAUCUGAGAUGCUUUGAUAUGGCAGAGGUCCUGGAAGUCAAGCUGCAUCUGGGAUCCUGAGAUCCUGGUGUGUCCAAAUCCUGAAAUCCUGUUGUGUCAAGGUCCAUGGAGUCAAGCUUUCUCAGGGUGUUGCAAAAUUGGGUGUGGAGACAGAGCUACUCUGGGUUUGCUCUGGGCAUAGGUGCAAGCUGGAAAGAAUAUGUGCCUCUGUCUGGACACAGGUUCAGGUUUCCCUGAUUCUUGUGGGAAUCCCAGUUAAGCUGAAUGUUGUGGCCAAUAUUGUGGCCUCAACUGUGAACUUGGGUGUGUCAGAGCUCCAAUGAUCCUGGGUAUGUCAGAUCUCCUGGGAGUCUAGCUUUCUCUAGCUAGGUGUUUACUGGUGUUUUCUUUUAUAUUUAAAACCUUUUUUUUUGGCUUUCCUUUGUCUUAUUACUCUAGUUAAGCCUUCCAGAAUUGCAUUGAAUGUAACAAAAUACCAGGAAUACUUUUUCAGUUACUGACUUAUAAGAAAAUGAUGUUGUUGUUUCCUUAUUAAUAAUGUAAUAAUUAAUCAACUGUCAUUAAUAAUUUAGCAAUUUGUAAUUAAUUGAUUAUUUUGUUUCAUAUACCUUCAUUGUAUUAGGUACAUUGCCUUUCUUUUUUUUCCUUUUAUUGAAAAUUUUCUUUAUCUACAUUUCAAAUGUUAUCUUCUUUCCUGGAAACUCCCUAUCCCACCCCCUCUCCCCCUGCUGCUAUGAGAGUGCUCCCCACCCACUGACUUUUUCCCACCUCCUUGUCGUGGCAUUCCCCUACAUUAGGGCACAGAGCCUUCACAGAACCAAGGGCCUUUCCUCUCCUUGAUGCCUAUCCUCUGCUACAUACGCAGCUGGAGCCAAGGGUCGCUCCAUUUGGUUGGUGGUUUAGUCCCAGAGAACUUGGGGUGGGGGUCUGGUUGGUUGAUAUCAAUGGCUGUUCUUCCUAUGGGGUUUCAAACCCCUCAGCUCCUUCAGUUCUUUCUCUAACUCCUCCAUUGGGGACCCUGUUCCUAGUCCAAUGGUUGACUGAGAGCAUCUGCCUCUGUAUUUGUCAGGCUCUGGAAGAGCCUUUCAGGAGACAGCUAUAUCAAGCUCUAGUCAGCAUCCACUUCUUGGCAUUUGCAAUAGUGUCUGGGUUUGUGACUGUAUAUGAAAUGGAUUCAGAGGUUAGGCAGUCUCUGGGUGGCCUUUUCUUUAAUCUCUGCUCCACAUACAGGAUGAGAGGAUUACAGGACCAGAGAGGAGGUACAUUGCUUUUAUUCUUAUUUCUUUGAAACUCAUUUGAAGGGAUACUGAAUCUUAUGACAAGCAUGAUCAUGUGUUUUUCUUGUUCCUUCUAUAUAUACUACAUUAUAAUUAUAGUUAUUUUCUUUGUAGCUACAAAGAAAAUUAUGUCUAGCAAGCUAAAAUAAUAACAUUUUCAUUUGAAUUUAUAACUGCAUAAAGUCAAUAAUAAAACACUGUUCAUCUAAA